CCCUGGGCAAAAGCAAACAAACCCGCCAGAAAGUGUUGAAGGAUGCAAUUGAAAUGAAACUUAGGAAUAGUAUAGAAUUUUCCCUAUGUUCUGCAUACAGGCUAGACAAAGUGAUUUUUUUUCUUUCUCUCUUUUUUUUUUUUUUCUUUUUUGAGACAGAGUCUCUCUGUAGCCCAGGCUCAAUUGCAAUGGCACAGUCUUCGCUCAGUUGAGAAGCCACAGGCAGAAGUGACUGGAGAAAUUACUCAAUAUGCUGAAUAUUGAGUCGACUGGGAAGCCCAACCAAAAAGACGCAUGCAGGGACACCAUGGGGAGCAGAGGAAAGUGCCUGCCCGGGCUUUAAAGGACAACUUGAAAGCAGAGAGCUAUGCCUAGAUGUGCCCGAGUUCAAUUUUAUGAUAUCAGCUAAGUCUUUGGUAGUUUGUGGUGAAUACGUCUUUAUUAGUCUCCUCACAUGACUUCUGUUUGUCAGACACAUUGCUCUAUCGUGAGAAUUCAAAUAUGAGUAAGACACUGUCCCUGCCAUCACAGACUUGGUGGAGAGGAAGCUGCAAAAGAGUCAAUUCUUGUAGAUUCUGCAAAAAUAUUACAAUAGAAAAAAAAAUACAGCCAUGCUUUGUUUUACUGCACUUCACUUUACUGCCUUUCACACGGUUUACAAAUUAAAGGUUUGUGGCAACCCUGCUUCUAGCACGUCUAUUGACACCAUUUUUCCAUCAGCAUGUGCUCACUUCCUGUCUGUGUCAUAUUUUAGUAAUUUUUGCAAUAUUUCAAAAAAAUUUAUUGUCAUUAUAUCCAUUUUGGUAAUCUGUAAUCUGAGGAUCUUUGAUAUUAACAUUUUAAUUGUAUUGGGGUGCCAUAAACCACACCCAUAAAAGAUCGUGAAUUAAUUGAUAAAUGUUGUGUGUGUUCUGACCGUCCCACCAAAGGGCUAUUCCCCCAUUUCUCUUGCUUUAUAUUUGGUAGUCUGGAAUGGAACACACAGUAUGUCAGAGGUAUGCCUAUAAUGUCCAAGCUGAAUCCUAAAUGAUUAUUAAGGAUUAGUAACUUUUUAUCAUGAACCUCAUGUACCCCAUCUAUAAAAAAUAUGCAUUUAUGAAUUAUAUACAUGCAUUACCAUCAACAAUUAAUGGAUAAUAAAACACAAAUUACACACAAAUAGUGAGGUUAAUUGUUAAGAAUACUAUAUAUAUAUAUAUAUAUAAUCAGGACCAAAAAAGUGACAAAUACACAUGUGAUCAUUCUGCAGGUAAUAAUAUAGGAACGGCAUUCAUAAACCAAAUUAUCAGUUGGUUGGAAGUGAAUACAGAUAUUCACACCUGCCUUAUUUUUCCAUACUAAAUGACACCAUUUUCCCAUAUCUUAAAACACAGAAUGUGAAAAGACAAAUUGUAACUUAAAUAAAUAUUAUAUGUAACAACUUAUUCUAAUCUUUUUGAGAACUUCUAGUUUCCUGGCCAAUAUAUUGUCUAAUUGUCUGUGUUUUGUGUGACUAGAAAACAAAGCUCAUACAAUAGUUGAUAUGUCAGUUUCGUUCUUUUUUGUCACUUGCUUGUUCUUGCAAUAAUAGUAUUAAAUUGUCUUCAGUUUACAGUUUCUAUUUAGAAAACCCUUUAUGACCUUUCCCCAUUUUGUAAGGAUCAAUUUAUUUAGAAUAAGAGUAUAACCCAUAAACCCACUUAACUUGGCAUGCAUAAGCUACAAACAUUGCUCUGCACAGUGCUAACAAGAAAGAGGCUUCUGCCAUGCCCUUUCCCCAUUGUGGAACUUCCUUUCUUUUUCAAAAUCCCUCAAGGGCAUCAGUACUUAGUCAGAGUAAACAUUUAUAACGUUUUACUCAUUCUUACUUCAUAGAUAGAAAUGUAUAAAUAAGAACUGCAUAUUUUCUUCCCACUUUUUGAUGGAUCACCCUGUGCAAACCCUGUGAUACACAGCAUGAAACCAUUAUGGUACAAUUUAGCCAGGCAUUGGACAAAGAAAGCAGGGCAUGCAAACUUCCUGAGGCAAGAGGGAACAUGGUCUUUUUGAAGAAGCACUACACUGUGAGCUUUGGCGUCAGAGCUCCUGGUCUUUGUUUGGGCUGUUGCUGUGAACAAGAUAUUUGCAUUGUCACUGUGUUAGUUUUGUGUCAAUAAAUGAGAGUGAUAGUGUUUAUUUGAUAGUGUUAAGGUGGCAUUUAAUAAUAAUAAUGUAGCAAACUAGUAAAUUGGAAUAUUAAUCCAUGUUAUUUUCUUUUUCUGAAUUCCUUAUAUGUGAAUCCCCUCCCACCCCCGUAGGUAAAGAGUUUCACUAUUGUGUUAGAGAGAAAUAGAAUUUUAUAGUGCAAAAACAAAACAAAAAAGAUCAAAAUAUAAUCACUGUUUGGUUUCUUUUAUUUUUUACUUGUAGAACAGACGUUUUAGAGUAUUAUUUUUAAAAAAAGAAGAAGGUUUUCACAGCCAAAGUAAUAAAUAUGGAAAGAGACUGGAAGAAGAAUUAGAUCAUUCCACCCACACCCCCUUGAGAAAUCAAGGUGAGUCACCUGUAUUGAUGUGGGAGGGAUGGAGAGUUGGUGAAUAAGGUAUGGCCUUAUUGGACAUCAAAGGUGGGAGAAAAGGGAGCUGAAUCUGAGAUGAGUAGGUGGAGAGAAGUGAGGUCAGCAUGCGCAGAUGCACAAACACUCUGGGAGCCGCAUGGAAGCUAAGCCAACAGCAAGAAACAUUACUCAGAGUAACAUUUACUCAGACAGAGAAGACAUGCUGGCUGUACCUCUCCUCACAGAGGGGUGUGGGCCUCUGGUCAUCAGGUCCCUUCAUGAGAAUUUUCUGAGCUCAGUGCAGACUUCCUGGGUAUUCAUGUGCACUCUUUUUUGAAGGCCCGGAAUAUUCUAAGUUUCCCAAAAUUAAUCUGGAGGUCUUUAACAUACAGAAGGGUAGAAGUGUCAUAGAAGGAAAACCCCAGCAUUGAGAGCAGUGCUUGAGUAAACUGGACAAUGGGACAUUCCAUUCUACUAUGGCAACAAUCAUAAUGAGAAAAGUGACCAGCAUUUUAUAGAACAUCUACCAUUUUAUCAGGCAGUGUACUAUUAAACACGUCAUAUACAUUGCAUCUUUUAACCCAGUUCUUAAUCUCUACACUACACUGUUCUUAAUAUCUACACUCUACUGCCUCCCAGAUAAAAUGACAAAACAGAUUUAAAGUAUUUAUAUGUAUAUGGUGCUUGCUUAUGAUUUUCACAUUAAUAUCAUGGAAGAAGAUGGUUGAAAAUGGGGAACAUACUGGUUAUCUGCUGUAAUACCAAAAGAGUAAAGACUGUGUCAGAAACUUUUAAGACUCAGAUAUCAAAGUUCAGAAACGUUUGUUUUAUUUUUCUAGAUGUAUUUUUUUAAUUCACAAAUAGUUUAAUUUUCUUAUUUCAUGGCUGAACACAAAGAGAUAGGUCAGGAAUUGAGAGUUUCUCUUCUUUCCUUGUUUUUUAUUCUCUAGGUUAAAAGACAAUAAAUGCCUACUAAGGCUUAAUGUUCUCAUUCCAUUUGUUUCACCUGUCUUCAAGAUACUUUGACUCAUCUCUAAAUCUUUUCUCAGCAUUUUCCCCUUUGAGGUGUUUGCUAUUUCUCAGGUAUCCAUUGAUGGGAAAUAAUUUUUACUCCUCUUUGGUCCAAAGCAGGAGCCUGACUGUGACUGAGGGGUGAGGUUAACUGUGUGAGGGUGAGAAAUCAGUAACCCUGCGAUGGCCACACAUCUAAGCCAAGUCCUCCAACCUAUAUCCAACUUCUGGAUAUAUCUCUCAAAUGAUUCCAGAGUAGGCAUUUAUUGAUUGAUCUGCCAAAAUCACAUAAUACAAAGCAAAAAGCCAGAACAGUAGUGUCUGUUUUAAGAAUGUUUCAAAAUUAUACUUAAACAUUAUGAAAUUGUAUCAAUAUUGUAGAGUAGUGUUAUAUAAUGUGCAUUCAUUCUUCAAGCAUUUAUUGGAUCACCAUCACGUGCUGGACUCCAAGGAUAUAAGAAUGAGAAAACAUACAAUUCUUAUAAUUCUGGGGCUUGGUGUGUAGUAGGAUAGACAGAUAUUAAUAUUAAUCAAAGAGCCAAAAAUAAAUGUGAAACUGCCAAUGGCAACAGUCACUAAAAAGCAGUGUUACAUGGUACUUUGAAAGCACAUCACAGGAGAACUUGACCUACUCAGCAAGGCCAGGUAAGGCUUUCCCAAAGAAAUGGAAAUUGAGUUUAAACUUGAAGGAAAAAUCUUCCCACUUGAGGGGACUAGUAUACACUCAGCAUCUACGUUGUAAGUCCUAUUUAAAUCAUUUCUUGGCUAUGACCACUCCCUUUCUAUAUAAUUUUGUUUAAAAUGAAAACAAAGCCACAGAUAUACACAUAGAGAUCACAAUGGACUUAAGAAGUUCCUUUCCAAAGUAGCUAACAUGGCAAAAUGUCUAAUUCCGAAAUUAGCUAAGAAAAAUCUUGCAAAAAAAUACCAUCAUCAAUUGACCAAAAAUCAAAGGUCGUUAGCCUGGAAAUAUAGGAGUUAGAAUGUCAGUGAAAGGAAAGCAGUUAGCAUACUAUAACUAGCAGCAGACAUAAACAAAACAUUGGAAAAGGAAAUUGUUUGAGUAUUUCAACCUUUCUGAUAUGUGUUUGUUUUUCAGAAUUCCUAACUAUUCUUUGUGUUUAGGCAUAGCCUGAAAUAAUGUUUUCAUUAACUUCCACAGACUUAUUUUGACACAAAAGUGCUAAACUAUAGUUAUUUUCCAAGAUGAAACAAUUUCUGCAUCUGCAUAUACAGGUGCACCCAGCAAAUCACUGAAACCUAAAGCAAACUUUUAAAAGCCAUGACCUAUGUAAAACAAAACUGGAAUCUUUUUCUCAGAAAUCCAUGCUUACAAAAACAGCUUCUAAAAUAAGUGUUAUUUAUGCCAGGGGAGCACCAUGGUGCAACUGUGGUAUUUAUAUGUUCCUUUAAGGUAUUGUUAAUUUUUCUAUUUCUAAACUCCCUACAUAGUUGCAGACUGCAAGAAGAUUUUGAUUAUGUAAUAAUUUGUAAAUGUAAUAAAAUGCUAUUUUGAAAGCACUGUGUGCCCCCCGCCCCCCAAUUGUUACCUCUUCUCAAAUGACCUAAAUAAAUUUUAUCAAUGAGCUGUUGCUCCAAUUGCUAUUUACCAAAUGAUAAACUUGACCUAAAAAAGAAACUUUAAUAAAGCCAAAUUUAAAAUCGCUGUGUUUCAUUCUCAUGCAAACAUGACAUUUAAAUUAAUAGCAUCUAUCUCCUUCCCUUAGGACAUAUAGUAUAAUUUGAAAAACUACAUAUGUAUAUUCAUUUCUUCCUUUCUUUUUCUGGUUCAGACACAUUGUUAUUGAGAAUUUAAAAUACUGUCCUUGCAGUUCCUUUUCAUCUUCACCAAGUUCUAUUUAAAAAUUAACAUGGUUUUAAUAAAGCCCAUUAUGUCUUUAAUGAGCUAUCAAGAAUAUAAACAGGUAACAUAUUAUCUUUACUCCAUAAGCAAAUAACAUCUUUGAUGCUUUUCUUUUCUAAACCAGUUUGGAUCAUAAAAAAGGAAGCAUGGUUUGCAUGUUUCACCUGUGUCAAAAAGUAUCUCAGCUUCUGUGACAUUUUGAAAGCUUUAUAAGCAAGAGAAAUGUUGCAUAUAAAUGAUAUCACACCCUAUGUUUUAGCUAGUUAUGCCUCAAUCCUGUAUUGAUUAUGGGCCAUAUAACUUCAGGCAGACAAAAG
rnacentral:lncRNA from 1 species